GUCUUCUUGUUAUAUUUAGGAAGUCUGGCCUGCCCAGUGAAAAUAAUUUAACGGCCGCGGUAUACUGACCGUGCAAAGGUAGCAUAAUCAUUAGUCUUUUAAUAGAGGGCUGGUAUGAAGGGUUUAACGAGGUGUUGACUGUCUCAUUUAAUUUGAAUUUAGAACUUAAUUUUUUAGUUAAAAAGCUAAAAUUUUAUUGGAAGACGAGAAGACCCUAUAGAGCUUUAUAUUUUUACUAUUAAUUUAUUAUAGAUUAUUAUUAUUUAUUAUUGGUAUAAAAUAUUUUGUUGGGGUGACAAAAAUAUAUAAAUAACUUUUUUAUUUCAUUUACAUUGCUAUAUGAAUAUUAGAUCCAAUCUUAUUGAUUGUUAGAUUAAGUUACCUUAGGGAUAACAGCGUAAUCCCUCUCCAGAGUUCAUAUUUACAGAGGGGCUUGCGACCUCGAUGUUGGAUUAAGAUAAUAAUUAGGUGUAGUCGCUUAAUUAAUAGGUCUGUUCGACCUUUAAAUUCUU
rnacentral:rRNA from 1 species